rnacentral:rRNA from 1 species
GUGAACGCUGGCGGUAGGCCUAACACAUGCCAGUCGAACGGCAGCACAGUAAGAUCUUGCUCUUACGGGUGGCGAGUGGCGGACGGGUGAGGAAUACAUCGUAAUCUACUUUUUCGUGGGGGAUAACGUAGGGAAACUUACGCUAAUACCGCAUACGACCUACGGGUGAAAGCAGGGGAUCUUCGGACCUUGCGCGAUUGAAUGAUCCGAUGUCGGAUUAGCUAGUUGGCGGGGUAAAGGCCCACCAAGGCGACGAUCCGUAGCUGGUCUGAGAGGAUGAUCAGCCACACUGGAACUGAGACACGGUCCAGACUCCUACGGGAGGCAGCAGUGGGGAAUAUUGGACAAUGGGCGCAAGCCUGAUCCAGCCAUACCGCGUGGGUGAAGAAGGCCUUCGGGUUGUAAAGCCCUUUUGUUGGGAAAGAAAAGCAGCAGGUUAAUACCCCGCUGUUCUGACGGUACCCAAAGAAUAAGCACCGGCUAACUUCGUG